rnacentral:rRNA from 1 species
UACGUAGGUGGCAAGCGUUGUCCGGAUUUACUGGGCGUAAAGCGCGCGCAGGCGGGCUGGUCAGUCUGGGGUGAAAUCUCACGGCUCAACCGUGAGAGGUCCCUGGAUACUGCUAGCCUUGAGGGGCUCAGAGGAGAGUGGAAUUCCGGGUGUAGUGGUGGAAUGCGUAGAGUAUCCGGAGGAACACCAGUGGCGAAAGCGGCUCUCUGGGGGCAACCUGACGCUGAGGCGCGAAAGCGUGGGGAGCGAACCGG